AUGCUGCGGUCUUCCGUACUUCCGUAUUCCGCCCGCCGGGAGAUCAUGGGUCAGGGCCACCGCCAACUCUUACUCGCGUUUCUGUCCGUGCUUCUCCUCACAGCCUCGGCCGUCGCCGCCGACAGCACGUUGACGCAGCGCAGUGCCAUCGGCGGCGACAAGAGGCUGGUCUCGCCGGGAGACAUCUUCCGGCUCGGCCUCUUUCCCGUCGCCAACGGCACCAAGUGGUACCUCGGCAUAUGGUUCACCGUCUCCCCGGCCGCCGUCAUCUGGGUCGCCAACCGCGACCGCCCGCUCAACGCCUCGUCCUCCGGCACACUCGAGCUCAGCGGCCGAGGAGACCUCGUGCUCCUCGACGCCGCGAGGGACAACGAGACCGUCUGGUCGUCCAACUCCUCGGCCGCGGCGCCGGCAGCGGUCGCGCAGCUCCGAGACAACGGCAACCUGGUGCUGGCGGACGCAGCCGGCGCCGUGGUGUGGCAGAGCUUCGAGCACCCGACCAACACGUUCGUGGCGGAGAUGCGGUCCGGGAAGGACCUGAGGACCGGCGCGCUGUGGGCCCUCUCGUCGUGGCGCGGCGCCGACGACCCGUCGCCCGGUGAUUUCCGUUACGUGAUGGACACCAGCAGCGGCUCGCCGGAGCUGCACGUCUGGAGCAAGGGCCACAAGACGUACCGGACGGGGCCGUGGAACGGGGCGCGGUUCAGCGGCAUCCCGGAGAUGACCGCCUUCGAGGACAUGUUCGAGUUCCGGUUCACCCACACCGCCGACGAGGUCUCCUACGUUUACCGCGACCGCGCCGGCUCGCCGGUGUCCCGCGUGGUUCUGAACGAGACCGGCGUCAUGCAGCGCAUGGUCUGGGACCGCGAGGCGGGCACGUGGAGCGUCUUCUGGUCCGGGCCGCGCGACCAGUGCGACCGCUAUGGCCUGUGCGGCGCCUUUGGAGUCUGCAACGUGGUGGACGCCGUGGUGUGCGGCUGCGUCCGGGGGUUCCGGCCCAGGUCGCCGGCAGAGUGGCGCAUGCGGAACGCGUCCGGCGGGUGCGCCCGCAGCACGCCGCUGCAGUGUGUUUUCGGCGGCAAGGACGGGUUCUACGCCUUGCGCGGCGUGAAGCUGCCGGAGACGCACGGCAGCAGUGUGGACGCCGGUGCCUCGCUUGAGGAGUGCGGCCGGAGGUGCCUGGCCAACUGCUCCUGUACGGCGUACGCCGCGUCGGACAUCCGUGGUGGCGGUGGUGGGAGCGGGUGCAUCCAGUGGUUCGGCGAGCUGAUGGACACGCGGUUCGUCGACGGCGGCCAGGAUCUCUUCGUCAGGCUGGCAAUGUCUGACCUAGACACAACCAAGAGCAAGAAGUUUCUCGCCGUCAUCGCAGCGGUGAUAGCAGGGUUCGCAAUGCUUCUGCUGUCACUUAGCUUCCUGAUCUGGAGAAAGUUCCAGCGCCGCAGGAUGGAAGUCGCCAUGUUUGAUGACAUCAUGAGGGGCGAGUGUCCAACGUACCUCCUCGAAACCAUUAGGGCCGCCACAGACGGGUUCCGCCCUGAGAACGAGAUCGGGCGCGGUGGCUUCGGCAUUGUGUACAAGGGUCAAAUGCCAGACGGCCAGGAGGUUGCAGUGAAGAGGCUCUCAGCGGAGAACAGAGUGCAAGGCCUGAAAGAGUUCAAGAACGAGGUGGACCUGAUCGCCAAGCUGCAGCACCGCAACCUGGUACGCCUGCUCGGCUGCUGCAUCCACUGCUCGGACAGGAUACUUGUCUACGAGUACAUGAGCAACAAGAGCUUGGACACCUUUAUUUUUGAUCCAAGGAGGCGCGCCACUUUGAGCUGGAGGGCCAGGAUGGACAUCAUCCUCGGAGUUGCCAGAGGGCUUGUCUACCUUCAUCAGGACUCAAGGCACACAAUAAUCCACCGAGAUCUCAAGGCGGCCAACGUUCUCCUUAAUGAGGAGAUGGUCGCCAAGAUAUCGGAUUUUGGAAUUGCGAAGCUGUUCAGCAGCAGCGGAGACAACAGUCAGGACUCCACCGUCACGGAAAGGAUUGUCGGGAAAAUAUGGUUACAUGUCACCGGAAUAUGCCAUGGACGGCAUGGUAUCAUUCAUGCAGGACGUGUACAGCUUCGGUGUGCUGUUGCUGGAGAUCGCCAGUGGCAGGAGGAACCAACGAAGUUUCAACCUCAUAGCUCAUGCAUGGAAUCUGUUUGA
rnacentral:rRNA from 1 species